ACGGAAAGAAUCAAACACAGUGAUUCCCUUUAUAUAAACUAAGAUACCAGAAGUAGGUUGGCAGGGGGAAGGCAGUAACAGGAAAGAAAGGGAGCUGAUUAUAUGGGCAUAUUCACUUGUGGGAAACCCAUCCAGCUGUUCUUUCGAUCUUCUGUACACAUUCAGCUGAACCACAAAAGUCUACCAUUUUUAUAGGUUCAAAGAGGUCAAACAUUAUUAAUUUCAUAUGAUUCACUCUAAUGUGCUUCAGAAGAAAGUUUUGGGAAAUCAACAGAAUAGCACAAACCCCAAAACCACAAUUUCUGAAUGGAAAGCAGGUCUCCUGAGGGUGGCCCUGGGCAUUCACUCAGGCGGGCACCCUGGCUCCCCAGACAGCCCUGGCAGGAGCUCAGCUUCACUUCCGGCAAACAGGGUCUCUGUCAGCUCACUUCCAUGUGCAUCACCCUUCGUUGCAAGGGGACUACUAAACCUGCGCUUCCCCCUGUCCAGUUCCAUACCUUAUGUUGAAUCCCCUUUUCCCCAACCUGCUAGUGACUCUGCUCUGGGGUGCACCCACCCAUCUGCUGAGGCCACAAUUAAUCUGCUGGUCAGAGCCAGAAGGCCGAGCACAAGGGGGCUCUCGCCCCUCCCUCAGCUAUACACUGCCCACAGAGAAAGGCCACCUCUUUCUCCUCCCAGCCACCCAGACGCAACUGGGCUCUCCCUUGCCGCCUCCUUCACUGGACAUCUGCCUCCUGCCCAUUUUGCUUCUUCAACACAGUACUUCUUAGUGCUGUCACCCAGCCCUGUGUCCCCCAUCCUCUCCUUUUUUUCCCCCCACACCCUCUCUCCUCAGGAGCCUCACCUCUGUCUUCUGCCUUGCCCUGCUCCACUUUUAAAGGACUUUUCAACAUUUACGGCUUCCAUUUCCUCACUGCAUACUUACUGCCUGAACAACCUACAACUUCACUUCUGCCAGCAUUUACCAUUCUACUCUACUCUUCAGGUGACCAGAAACUUCCUGUCACCAUCAGAAUUAAUGCUUAACUCCAGCUGAUUUUCAGAACAUUCCACACUUUGGUCCUAGCCAAUCUUCCAGCCUCAUUUCCUCAGCACCAUUCACAAGUGUCCUGAAGUAAACACUUCUCUUUUCCAUCAUUUCCUCUCCAGUACCACCCAACCCACACAUGCUCAGAGCAGAAGCUCCAGGACCAGCUUGCACAUCUCCUUUUCUCCCACACCCCUUGGCCAUCAUGCCACGAACUGCAUCAAGUCUUCCCUGCAAAGGUACCUGGAAUCUACGUACCUGUCCCUAUCUCAUUAUCUCUCCACAUUAGGACAUUCCUUCGAAUACUCUUUCACCUGCUCUUGCCCCUCUGAUCCUUCACAUAUAAAUGUCAAUCAAGUCAGACCACUCACCUCCUUAAAAAGCUGGCUGUGGCUCCCCACUACUCUCAGAAGGAGCCCACAGCUAUGUCCCUGCUCACCUGUGCAGCCUCGUGUCACUGGCCCCGUGCUCACCAUGUCUAGUAGGUCACUUUCCUCUAUUUCUUCAAAUGCCCUCUGCUACUUCCAGCAGCUGGCUCUGUACAGACUUUGCCUGGAAUGUGCUUUCAGAGUCAUGUGGCUAACUCUUACUCGUCCCUUACGUCUCAGUUCAAGUGUUAUUCUUUACAAAGACCUUUCUUUAUCACAUGCUGUGUAUCUGUGAGUUUGUACGUUUCACAUGUGUCUGAUAGAAGCUCCAGAGGAGCAGAGUCUGUCUGGCAGAGGGCCUGGCAACAGUGGUCUCGAUCCAUAAACACAGAUGAAUAAGACACAAUCUCUGCCCUCACCAAUGUCACUGACUGGUACAGGGACAGAUACAUAACUAACUUUAUGUAGGGAGAGAAAUUCCAAAACAAGUCAUGUGAGAGAUGAGCAUGACAUUUGCAGGUUAAGGGAACGAUAACAAAAAGCUUUCUAGACAGAAAUAUGAACCAGGUCAAGGAGAAAGAUCUCAAAGAAGCAAACAGAUGAAAGCUCACCCAAGGCCAUGAUAGCCAGACCCAGAGUCAGUCACUGAAGGAUUUCGAGGGUUGGGAAAACUUUCAGAGUAACACAAAAACAACCUCGGUCACCAUGUGGAGGGUAGACUGUGCACAUUUUUAUCUCCAUGCUCCAUUCUCAGUAUGUCCACUUCUCUGGUUUUACAAGCCCCACCACCUCCAGGUACCAAGCCACAGCGUUCUCUAACCAAGCUGCAUGGGUGCAGAGCCCAGGCCGCCUGAGGGCUGCUUUUUUUUUUUUUGCCUUUGAUGUGUCUUUGCUCCCUCAGUAGACUGAAAUUCCAAGGGCAGAGCCUUGUGUCAGAACUCUGUAUUCCCCUCCAGCCUCUAAUACAAAGCUUUAAGUAUGAGUAUGUUUGAUAAAUGCAUUGUAUAAAACAGUUCUGUUUGCAGAGUGCUUAGGAAUAGCCCCGCCUAGAGUCUCACAAACAGCCAAUGCAGGUCCUGUGGCCUCGUGAUGAAUGAAAACCCCACCCAUGAUGACACCAGCCAAGAAGGGAGUCCCUGUGCACCUUGACCUUCCCAGCCCCAUCAGCGAAGCCAUCUCAGUGCUUGUGUGGUUGGUAAUUAUCUGGUGGGAGGCACUUGACAGAUGAGUCCUGUGCACUGGGGCCAGCAGGGAAGCUGCCCUCCUGCCUGUUCUGAGCCACCAGCGGAGCCUAGCGGGUCUAUCUGCCAAAUGCGGGAUAGAGGAAGAUGGGAGAGGAAGGCCAGCCACAGAGGAAGCCAGCUGGCAGACACUGACUUCAAUCCCACUGCUGCCACACCUUGUUGUCUCCCCAGAAAGGACAGACUGCUGCAGCAAGGUGGCAACUGUGGUUUGUUCUUCAGGUAACACCUCCCUGAUUCUGGGAAAGGAAGAUGACUUCGACUAUCUUACCAUGGAGUCACCAGCCACUCCACAGAGGACUGCUUCAGAGCUCUCCUCUAACCCUGAGCAGCGUGGAGGAAGGAAGUAAAAGUCCUCUGCAAACAGAAAAUACAUAGAGUUCUCCUUGAUUGCUCAUCUGCCUCGGAAACACCAACACCCACCUGCUCAACUCAGAACUACACUCAGCGCCAAACCAGCUGGCAUAGCGCCAGGCAGAAACUCACCACAGUUGCUGUCUCCAUCCCUCAGCUGCACCUUGAUGAAAUUCUCCAUCCAAAAAGGGUCACAAAUACAGCGUUUAGUGAAUGAAUCACAGUGGCCAUGGUCAGAACAGUUCAACUGGCAUGCUGAAAGUAGCAGGAAAGGGAAAAAGGUCAACAGGAGUCAGAGCCAGAACCCCGGCUCUGACUGUGCCCCGGCUCAGCGCCCCUGCUCUGUGGCCGGUGGGAAAAUUCCUUCAAGGCCCACCCCGAGGGCUUUUACAGCUUGGGCACCUUGCCCGUGAACACUGCUCUCCGCUGAUAGUGCGUCAUCUUUCAUGGCCCACAGACCCCACCCCACCCCCUGCCUUCUUUGCAUCAUUUAAUUGCCAAAAUAAAA